GUGGGUGUAGCUCAAUGGUUAGAGCACUAGGCUGUGGCCCUAGGGGUUGCGGGUUCAAUUCCCGUCACCCACCCCA
rnacentral:tRNA from 1 species